rnacentral:lncRNA from 1 species
UUUUUUUUUUAUUUAUUUUUUAUUUUUUUAUUUAUGAUAGUCACAGAGAGAGAGAGAGAGAGAGAGGCAGAGACACAGGCAGAGGGAGAAGCAGGCUCCAUGCACCGGGAGCCCGACGUGGGAUUCGAUUCCGGGUCUCCAGGAUCGCGCCCUGGGCCAAAGGCAGCGCCAAACCGCUGCGCCACCCAGGGAUCCCUCCCCAAUUUUUUUCUUAAUCAGAUCUGACAUGGGGGCACCUAGAUGGCUCAGUCAGUUAAGCAUCUGCUCAAGUGAUGAUCUCAGAAUCCUAGAUCCAGCCCUGCAUCUGGCUCCCUGCUCAGUCAGUGGUCUGCUUCUCUCUCCGGCUCCCACUCCUCACUGCUCCUCCUGCUCACUUUCUCUCUAAUAAAUAAAAUAUUAAAAAAAAAAAAAAGCUCUGACAUCAUCAGAGACCCCACCUAGUUACUUCUCCCCAGCCUGGCUCUCAAAAGCAUGUGGAUUUAAUGCACAUCGAUCUGGAGGUGUGAGGUGCAUUUCUGGAGGUGUCACCAUUGAAAGAAUGGAAAGCAGAAGAGUUCAGAAGUUCUUCUGUGAGUAUUGGUGAUGACGUGGAGAAACUAGACCUCUUUUUUUUUUCUUUUACCACACUGUUAGGUGUGGAUACUGGAGCAGUAAUUAGGCGAUAUCUGGUAAAAGCUAAAGAUAUGCAGGCCCCAUGGCCCCGUGAUCUCAGUCCACGGACCCACACACCCAACAGACACACAAACAUGCUCAAGAAAACACAGAUGGCAGUCCUCACAGUCUGGGGCAUCUGGCCGGCCCAGGCCCACGAGCACAUGACUCUUGAUCUCAUGGGUUCGAGCCUCACUUUGGGUGUAGAGAUUACUCAUUCAUGAGAGACACAGAGAGAGAGAAGCAGAGACACAGGCAGAGGGAGAAGCAGGCUCCAUGCAGGGGACUUGAUCCAUGAUCUCCAGGAUCAUGCCCUGGGCUGAAGGUGGCACUAAACCGCUGAGCCACUGGGCUGCCCCAAAGAUACAAUCUUUAAAAAAAAAAAAAAAAAAAAGAAUGUUCGCAGCAGCUCUGUCUCUAAUGCCUGUAGCUGGGAAUGACCCAAAAGCUUAUCAACAGCAGAACAGAUGAACUGUGCGCCAUGUACAGUGGAGUGAGAAGGAAGAAACCAUCUGCCCAGUACAGGAGUCCAUGCAGCAUGAUUCCACUUCUCUAAAGUCAAGUGGCAAAACUAUGCUGUUUGAAAUCAGCAUAGUGGUUCUCAGGACACCUGGGUGGCUCAGCACUUGGGCGGCUGCCUUCAGCUCAGGUCAUGGUCUCGGGAUCCGGGAUUGAGUCCUACAUCGGACUCCUGUGGGGGGCCUGCUUCUCCCUCUGCCGUGUCUCUGCCUCUCUCUGUCUCUCAUGAAUAAAUAAAUAAAAUCCUUAAUAUAAAAAGAUUUAUCUAUUUAUUCAUGAGCGGCAGAGACACAGGCAGAGGGAGAAGCAGGCUCCAUGCAGGGAGCCUGAUGUGGGACUUGAUCCCAGAACUCCAGGAUCACGCCCUGAAACAAAGGCAGACGCUCAACCGCUGAGCCACCCAGGCGUCCCUAGAUAAAUCUUAAAAAAAAAAAGGGCGGGGAGAUAGUGGUUCUCUGGGGAGGCCACAGUCUGGGUCCUGCUAGGAACUGACCAGAUAAUAUUUGGUUUCUUGACCUGAAUACCAGCUACCAAUGCAUGUGCGCAGCUUGUGAAAAUUCAUUACACCAAGCACUUGAGUUGUGUGCAUGUUAUGUGUUUUAUACUCCCAUAAAAUUUACCGAAAUUCACAGCAAUAACAAAGAGGUGUGCUUGGCAAUUUGGCAACGCCUACCAAAUUCAUAAAUCCCACUUCUAGGAAUUUAUCUGCAAUUAAACUCCUAGAAAAUUACAGGCAUGCUAGAGCCUUCUGUACAACAUCGUUUAGAAAAGACUGGAAAUAUCCUCAAUGUUGGUAAAUGGAGAACUAGUUGAAUCUUACUGGAAUGUUUUUUUUUUUUAAUUUUUAUUUAUUUAUGAUAGUCACACACACAGAGAGAGAGAGAGGCAGAGACACAGGCAGAGGGAGAAGCAGGCUCCAUGCACCGGGAGCCCGACGUGGGACUCGAUCCCCGGUCUCCAGGAUCGCACCCUGGGCCAAAGGCAGGCGCUAAACCGCUGUGCCACCCAGGGAUCCCACUGGACUGAUUUGAAUAGUCUUCAAGAUAUAUUCUUGGGGCCCCCAGCUGGCUCAGUCGGAAGAACAUGUGACUUGAUCUCAGGGUCAUGAGUUUGAGUCCCAUGUUGGGGGCAGAGGUUACUUAGGUAUAAAUAUACAUUCUUAGUUACCUCAAUACAAAAUAAAUUAUAGGGACACCUGGGUAGCUCAGUAGUUGAGCGUCUGCAUUUGGCUCAGGUCAUGAUCUCAGGGUCUUGGGAUCGAGUCCCCAAUCCCUGCAGGGAGCCUGCUUCACCCUCUGCCUGUUUCUGCCUCUGUGUCUCUCAUGAAUAAAUAAAUAAAACCUUAAAAAAUCAGGAUUCUGACUAAAAAAAUUGUUACAUGAAACAAAGGUAAAAAAUAUUGUUAGUCAUCUGGUAUUCUUCCUAUUAAAAACAAAAACAGUUUGUACA